GGCACUGAUGGUGUAGGGGUUAGCGUGCGACCAUAUGCAGAGGCUACAGUCCUCAGACGGCUGUCCCGGGUUCGAGUCCCAGACCCGGCGUCA